rnacentral:rRNA from 1 species
UACGGGGGGAGCAAGCGUUGUUCGGAUUUACUGGGCGUAAAGGGCGCGUAGGCGGUCGUGACAAGUCACUUGUGAAAUCUCCGGGCUUAACUCGGAACGGUCAAGUGAUACUGUCGGACUAGAGUACAGAAGGGGCAACUGGAAUUCUCGGUGUAGCGGUGAAAUGCGUAGAUAUCGAGAGGAACACCUGCGGCGAAGGCGGGUUGCUGGGCUGACACUGACGCUGAAGUGCGAAAGCUAGGGGAGCGAACGGG